AACCGACUAAUGUUGAAAAAUUAGCGGAUGACUUGUGGCUGGGGGUGAAAGGCCAAUCAAACCGGGAGAUAGCUGGUUCUCCCCGAAAGCUAUUUAGGUAGCGCCUCGUGAAUUCAUCUCCGGGGGUAGAGCACUGUUUCGGCAAGGGGGUCAUCCCGACUUACCAACCCGAUGCAAACUGCGAAUACCGGAGAAUGUUAUCACGGGAGACACACGGCGGGUGCUAACGUCCGUCGUGAAGAGGGAAACAACCCAGACCGCCAGCUAAGGUCCCAAAGUCAUGGUUAAGUGGGAAACGAUGUGGGAAGGCCCAGACAGCCAGGAUGUUGGCUUAGAAGCAGCCAUCAUUUAAAGAAAGCGUAAUAGCUCACUGGUCGAGUCGGCCUGCGCGGAAGAUGUAACGGGG
rnacentral:rRNA from 1 species